GUUUAUUGGAGGGCAAGUCUGGUGCCAGCAGCCGCGGUAAUUCCAGCUCCAAGAGCGUAUAUUAAAGUUGUUGCAGUUAAAAAGCUCGUAGUUGAACCUUGGGUUUUGGAGGGAGGUCCACCUCACGGUGAGUACUUCCAUAUCCAAGACCUUUCCUCUGCUUCCUCGCAAGAGGCAGCAGAAUAUUACUUUGAGUAAAUGAGAGUGUUCAAAGCAGGCGCACGCUUGAAUCUGUUAGCAUGGAAUAAUAGAAUAGGACGCAUGGUUCUAUUUUGUUGGUUUCUAGGACCAUCGUAAUGAUUAAUAGGGACGGUCGGGGGCAUCAGUAUUCAGUUGUCAGAGGUGAAAUUCUUGGAUUUACUGAAGACUAACUACUGCGAAAGCAUUUGCCAAGGACGUUUUCAUUAAUCAAGAACGAAAGUUAGGGGAUCGAAGAUGAUCUAGAUAACCGGUGCCCAUUAACCUGCG
rnacentral:rRNA from 1 species